rnacentral:lncRNA from 1 species
CUGGGGGUAUAGCCAAGAUGGCAGAGUAAUCCUCAGCAGCUCUAUACCAACAUGAGAAUCUUUCCCAACCAAAAUUAAAAUAUUGCCACAAAAUUAAUAUAGGAGUGAAAGAACCAACAAGAAGGCAGAGUGAAACAACUUUCAAGAAAAAAAAAACAAAGGUGCUGAAAGGAAUAAUGAACUGGAAGAUUUCUAUGUGAAUUGGAAAGGACUCCAGGAAUUGAUGAAGACUGAGAGAAGCAGAACCAGGAGAAAAUUGUACAUAGAGACUGAUACAUUAUGGUACAAUAGAAUGUAAUAGACUUUUCUACUAGAAUCAAUGCAAUGAUCUAGGACAAAACAGAAGAACUUUUGAGAAAGAACAUUACCAACAUCCAGAGGGAACUGAGGGAACAGAAAUGCUGAAGAAAAACAUAUGAUCAAUCAUAUGGUUCUAUAGAAGUAUGAUUAGGGUUUUGAUGUUAAAAGAUCACUCUCCUACAAAUACGAAUAACAUGGAAAUAGAUUUUAAGCAAUGAUACAUGUAUAAGCCAG